rnacentral:rRNA from 1 species
AUGGUUAGGAGUGUACCGAUUGGUGAGAAGCUCUUCAUAGGAGGAGACCUCAAUGGCAACGUGGGUACAUCUAACACAGGUUUUGAAGGGGCGCAUGGGAGCUUUGGCUAUGGCAUCAGGAAUCAAGAAGGAGAAGAUGUCUUAAGCUUUGCUCUAGCCUACAACAUGAUUGUAGCUAACACCCUCUUUAGAAAGAGAGAAUCACAUCUGGUGACUUUUAGUAGUGGCCAACACUCUAGCCAGAUUGAUUUCAUCCUCUCGAGAAGAGAAGAUAGGCGUGCGUGCCUAGACUGUAAGGUGAUACCUGGGGAGAGUGUUGUACCCCAGCAUAAGCUGGUGGUUGCUGACUUCCGCUUUCGGAUUCGUGUCCAGUGGGAUAAGCGUGCCAAGGUCGCUAGAACGAAGUGGUGGAAGCUCAAGGGGGAGGUAGCUCAGGUGUUCAAGGAGAUGGUAUUUAAGGAGGGCCCUUGGGAGGAAGGAGGGGAUGCGGACAAUGUGUGGAUGAAGAUGGCGACUUGGAUUCGUAAGGUGGCCUCGGAGGAGUUUGGAGUGUCCAGGGGAAGGAGAAGCGAAGAUAAGGAUACCUGGUGGUGGAAUGAUGAUGUCCAGAAGGCACUUAAAGAGAAGAAAGAUUGCUUCAGACGCCUAUACCUGGAUAGGAGUGCAGACAACAUAGAGAAGUACAAGAUGGCGAAGAAGGCCGCAAAGCGAGCUGUUGGUGAAGCAAGGGGUCGGGCAUAUGAGGACCUCUACCAACGGUUAGGCACGAAGGAAGGUGAAAGGGACAUCUAUAAGAUGGCUAAGAUCCGGGAGAGGAAGACGAGGGAUAUUGGCCAAGUCAAAUGCAUCAAGGACGGAGCAGGCCAACUCUUGGUGAAGGACGAAGAGAUUAAGCAUAGAUGGCGGGAGUACUUCGACAAGCUGUUCAAUGGGGAGAAUGAGAGUUCUACCAUUGAACUGAAUGACUCCUUUGAUGAGACCAGCAUGCGUUUUGUGCGGUGCAUCCAGGAGUCUGAGGUGAAGGAGGCUUUAAAAAGGAUGAAAGGAGGCAAGGCGAUGGGCCCUGAUUGUAUCCCCAUUGAGGUGUGGAAAGGUCUCGGGGACAUAGCGAUAGUAUGGCUAACCAAGCUUUUCAACCUCAUUUUUCGGGCAAACAAGAUGCCAGAAGAAUGGAGACGGAGUAUAUUAGUACCAAUCUUCAAGAACAAGGGGGAUGUUCAGAGUUGUACUAAUCACCGUGGAAUUAAGCUGAUGAGCCAUACAAUGAAGCUAUGGGAGAGAGUCAUUGAGCACCGCUUAAGAAGAAUGACAAGCGUGACCAAAAAUCAGUUUGGUUUCAUGCCUGGGAGGUCGACCAUGGAAGCCAUUUUCUUGGUACGACAACUUAUGGAGAGAUAUAGGGAGCAUAAGAAGGACUUGCAUAUGGUGUUCAUUGACUUGGAGAAGGCCUAUGAUAAGAUACCGCGGAAUGUCAUGUGGUGGGCCUUGGAGAAACACAAAGUCCCAGCAAAGUACAUUACCCUCAUCAAGGACAUGUACAAUAAUGUUGUGACAAGUGUUCGAACAAGUGAUGUCGACACCGAUGACUUCCCGAUUAAGAUAGGACUGCAUCAGGGGUCAGCUUUGAGCCCUUAUCUUUUUGCAUUGGUGAUGGAUGAGGUCACAAGGGGUACACAAGGAGAUAUCCCAUGGUGUAUGCUCUUUGCGGAUGAUGUGGUGCUAGUUGACGAUAGUCGGACGGGGGUAAAUAGGAAGUUAGAGUUAUGGAGACAAACCUUGGAAUCGAAAGGAUUUAGGCUUAGUAGAACUAAAACCGAGUACAUGAUGUGCGGUUUCAGUACUACUAGCUGUGAGGAGGAGGAGGUUAGCCUUGAUGGCCAGGUGGUACCUCGGAAGGACACCUUUCGGUAUUUGGGGUCAAUGUUGCAGGAGGAUGGGGGUAUUGAUGAAGAUGUGAACCAUCGAAUCAAAGCCGGAUGGAUGAAGUGGCGCCAAGCUUCUGGCAUUCUCUGUGACAAGAGAGUGCCACAAAAGCUAAAAGGCAAGUUCUACAGGACGGCGGUUCGACCCGCAAUGUUGUAUGGCGCGGAAUGUUGGCCGACUAAAAGGCGACAUGUUCAACAGUUAGGUGUGGCGGAGAUGCGUAUGUUGAGAUGGAUGUGUGGCCACACGAGGAAGGAUCGAGUCCGGAAUGAUGAUAUACGAGAUAGAGUUGGGGUAGCACCAAUUGAGGAGAAGCUUGUCCAGCAUCGUUUGAGAUGGUUUGGGCAUAUUUAG